rnacentral:rRNA from 1 species
AGAGUUUGAUCAUGGCUCAGAGUGAACGUUGGCGGCGUGCCUAACACAUGCAAGUCGAACGAAAACCGAGGAGCUUGCUCCUCGGGGUCAGUGGCGAACGGGUGAGUAACACGUGAGUAAUCUGCCCUUGAGUGGGGAAUAACUCCGCGAAAGCGGAGCUAAUACCGCAUAAUACUCUGCAGCUUAAGCUGUCAGAGUCAAAGCCUUCGGGCGCUUAAGGAUGAGCUUGCGGCCUAUUAGCUUGUUGGUAGGGUAAUGGCCUACCAAGGCUUUGAUGGGUAGCCGGCCUGAGAGGGCGAUCGGCCACACUGGAACUGCGACACGGUCCAGACUCCUACGGGAGGCAGCAGUGGGGAAUUUUGCGCAAUGGGCGAAAGCCUGACGCAGCGACGCCGCGUGGAGGAAUAAGGCCUUCGGGUUGUAAACUCCUGUCAGAGGUGAAGAAUGUCCUAUGGACUUGACGGUAACCUCAGAGGAAGCCCCGGCUAACUACGUGCCAGCAGCCGCGGUAAUACGUAGGGGGCAAACGUUGCUCGGAAUUACUGGGCGUAAAGGGUGUGUAGGUGGCAGAGUAAGUCAAGGAUGAAAUCCCGAGGCUUAACUUCGGAACUGUCCCUGAAACUGCUCAGCUUGAGGGUAGUUGAGGAAAACGGAAUUCCCGGUGGAGCGGUGAAAUGCGUAGAUAUCGGGAGGAACACCAGAGGCGAAGGCGGUUUUCUGAGCUAUUCCUGACACUGAGACACGAAAGCUAGGGGAGCGAACGGGAUUAGAUACCCCGGUAGUCCUAGCCGUAAACGAUGGGCACUAGAUGUUCCCACUUAUGUGGGAGUGUCGCAGUUAACGCAUUAAGUGCCCCGCCUGGGGAGUACGGUCGCAAGGCUA